GAUGAAGAACGCAGCGAAAUGCGAUAAGUAAUGUGAAUUGCAGAAUUCAGUGAAUCAUCGAGUCUUUGAACGCACAUUGCACCCCCUGGUAUUCCGGGGGGCAUGCCUGUCCGAGCGUCAUUGCUGCCCUCAAGCACGGCUUGUGUGUUGGGCCCCCGUCCCCGGUUUCCCCCGGGGACGGGCCCGAAAGGCAGCGGCGGCACCGCGUCCGGUCCUCGAGCGUAUGGGGCUUUGUCACCCGCUCUGUAGGCCCGGCCGGCGCCAGCCGACACCCAACUUUAUUUCUAAGGUUGACCUCGGAUCAGGUAGGGAUACCCGCUGAACUUAAGCAUAUCAAUAAGCGGAGGA
rnacentral:misc_RNA from 1 species